ensembl:snoRNA Small nucleolar RNA SNORA31
CUGCAUGUUUUGACAGCUCAGUGUCUUGUAUUAUAGCCACCUGAGUUUUAAAAUGUUCAUGCUAAAGGAAAAAGUCCCCGCGCUUUCUUCAUGUCCUGUCAGUGGCUUGUGAGAUUGAAUUGGGGUCAACAGAA